GGAAUUGUUCGCAAUGGGCGCAAGCCUGACGACGCAACGCCGCGUGGAGGAUGAAGAUCUUCGGGUCGUAAACUCCUGUCGAGCGGGAAGAAUUGCUUCGGGGUCAAUACCUCCGGAGCUUGACGGUACCGCUAAAGGAAGCCCCGGCUAACUCCGUGCCAGCCGCCGCGGUAAUACGGGGGGGGGCAAGCGUUGUUCGGAAUUACUGGGCGUAAAGGGCUCGUAGGCGGCCGACUAAGUCAGACGUGAAAUCCCCAGGCUCAACCUGGGAACUGCGUCUGAUACUGGUGGGCUUGAAUUCGGGAGAGGGAUGCAGAAUUCCAGGUGUAGCGGUGAAAUGCGUAGAUAUCUGGAGGAAUACCGGUGGCGAAGGCGGCAUCCUGGACCGACAUUGACGCUGAGGAGCGAAAGCUAGGGGAGCAAA
rnacentral:rRNA from 1 species